rnacentral:rRNA from 1 species
UGAACGCUGGCGGCGUGCCUCAUACAUGCAAGUCGAGCGAACAGAUAAGGAGCUUGCUCCUUUGACGUUAGCGGCGGACGGGUGAGUAACACGUGGAUAACCUACCUAUAAGACUGGGAUAACUUCGGGAAACCGGAGCUAAUACCGGAUAACAUAUUGAACCGCAUGGUUCAAUAGUGAAAGGCGGCUUUGCUGUCACUUAUAGAUGGAUCCGCGCCGUAUUAGCUAGUUGGUAAGGUAACGGCUUACCAAGGCAACGAUACGUAGCCGACCUGAGAGGGUGAUCGGCCACACUGGAACUGAGACACGGUCCAGACUCCUACGGGAGGCAGCAGUAGGGAAUCUUCCGCAAUGGGCGAAAGCCUGACGGAGCAACGCCGCGUGAGUGAUGAAGGUCUUCGGAUCGUAAAACUCUGUUAUCAGGGAAGAACAAAUGUGUAAGUAACUGUGCACAUCUUGACGGUACCUGAUCAGAAAGCCACGGCUAACUACGUG